rnacentral:tRNA from 1 species
UGUAGCUCAGUCUGGUAGAGCAGGGGCCGCAAGCUCUGUGUCGGUGGUUCAAAUCCAUUCAUGUAU